GACGAACGCUGGCGGCGUGGAUUAGGCAUGCAAGUCGAACGGUAUGGACCUUUCGGGGUUCAGAGAGUGGCGAACGGGUGAGUAACACGUAGGUAAUCUACCCUCAAGACGGGGACAACCCAGGGAAACUUGGGCUAAUACCGGAUGUGUGUAGUGGCUAUUUUUCUGAUUAUCAUUAUUUACGUAAGUGAGUAAUAAUAAGAAGGGAAAGUGGUUAUUACAUAAAAGGUGGCGUAAGCUGCCGCUUGGGGAUGAGCCUGCGUCCUAUUAGUUAGUUGGUGAGGUAACGGCUUACCAAGGCGAUGAUAGGUAGGCGGCCUUAACGGGUGGUCGCCCACACUGGGGAUUGAGAUACGGCCCAGACUCCUACGGGAGGCAGCAGUCGAGAAUAGUCUACAAUGGACGGAAGUCUGAUAGUGCGACGCCGCGUGAACGAGAAUCCCUUCGGGGUGUAAAGUUCUUUUAUACGUGAGCAGUGUCCUUUAUAUUAAUAGUAUAAGGGGAGAGAUAUUAGCGUAUGAAUAAGCAACGGCUAAC
rnacentral:rRNA from 1 species